CGACUCCUCGCAUGGGGUGUCGGGAAAGAUUAUAUCGGUAUGGGAUGGGGUCGCGUCCUAUCAGGUAGUCGGCGGGGUAACGGCCCACCGAGCCUACGACGGGUAGCCGGCCUGAGAGGGCGACCGGCCACAUUGGGACUGAGAUACGGCCCAGACUCCUACGGGAGGCAGCAGUGGGGAAUAUUGCACAAUGGGCGCAAGCCUGAUGCAGCGACGCCGCGUGCGGGAUGACGGCCUUCGGGUUGUAAACCGCUUUUGAUCGGGAGCAAGCCUUCGGGUGAGUGUACCUUUCGAAUAAGCACCGGCUAACUACGUGCCAGCAGCCGCGGUAAUACGUAGGGUGCAAGCGUUAUCCGGAAUUAUUGGGCGUAAAGGGCUCGUAGGCGGUUCGUCGCGUCCGGUGUGAAAGUCCAUCGCUUAACGGUGGAUCUGCGCCGGGUACGGGCGGG
rnacentral:rRNA from 1 species